rnacentral:rRNA from 1 species
GAUGAACGCUGGCGGCGUGCCUAAUACAUGCAAGUCGAGCGAACGGACGAGAAGCUUGCUUUUCUGAUGUUAGCGGCGGACGGGUGAGUAACACGUGGAUAACCUACCUAUAAGACUGGGAUAACUUCGGGAAACCGGAGCUAAUACCGGAUAAUAUUUUGAACCGCAUGGUUCAAAAGUGAAAGACGGUCUUGCUGUCACUUAUAGAUGGAUCCGCGCUGCAUUAGCUAGUUGGUAAGGUAACGGCUUACCAAGGCAACGAUGCAUAGCCGACCUGAGAGGCGGAUCGGCGACAUUGGAACGGGGCCACGGUCCAGGCUCCUAAGGGAGGCAGCAGUCGGGAAUCUGCCGCAAUGGGCGAAAGCAUUACGGAGUAGCGCCGCGCGAGUGAUGAAGGUCUUCGGAUCGUAAAACCCUGUUAUGAGGGAAGAACAGAUGUGUAAGUAACUGUGCACAUCUUGACGGUACCUAAUCAGAAAGCCACGGCUAACUACGUG